rnacentral:rRNA from 1 species
GGUUAAGCGACUAAGCGUACACGGUGGAUGCCCUGGCAGUCAGAGGCGAUGAAGGACGUGCUAAUCUGCGAAAAGCGUCGGUAAGGUGAUAUGAACCGUUAUAACCGGCGAUGUCCGAAUGGGGAAACCCAGUGCAAUUCGUUGCACUAUCGUUAACUGAAUACAUAGGUUAACGAGGCGAACCGGGGGAACUGAAACAUCUAAGUACCCCGAGGAAAAGAAAUCAACCGAGAUUCCCCCAGUAGCGGCGAGCGAACGGGGAGCAGCCCAGAGUCUGAAUCAGCUUGUGUGUUAGUGGAACGGUCUGGAAAGUCCGACGGUACAGGGUGAUAGUCCCGUACACCAAAAUGCACAGGUUGUGAACUCGAAGAGUAGGGCGGGACACGUGGUAUCCUGUCUGAAUAUGGGGGGACCAUCCUCCAAGGCUAAAUACUCCUGACUGACCGAUAGUGAACCAGUACCGUGAGGGAAAGGCGAAAAGAACCCCGGCGAGGGGAGUGAAAAAGAACCUGAAACCGUGUACGUACAAGCAGUGGGAGCACCUUCGGGUGUGACUGCGUACCUUUUGUAUAAUGGGUCAGCGACUUAUAUUCUGUAGCAAGGUUAACCGUAUAGGGGAGCCGCAGGGAAACCGAGUCUUAACUGGGCGUUAAGUUGCAGGGUAUAGACCCGAAACCCGGUGAUCUAGCCAUGGGCAGGUUGAAGGUUGGGUAACACUAACUGGAGGACCGAACCGACUAAUGUUGAAAAAUUAGCGGAUGACUUGUGGCUGGGGGUGAAAGGCCAAUCAAACCGGGAGAUAGCUGGUUCUCCCCGAAAGCUAUUUAGGUAGCGCCUCGUGAAUUCAUCUUCGGGGGUAGAGCACUGUUUCGGCUAGGGGGUCAUCCCGACUUACCAACCCGAUGCAAACUACGAAUACCGAAGAAUGUUAUCACGGGAGACACACGGCGGGUGCUAACGUCCGUCGUGAAGAGGGAAACAACCCAGACCGCCAGCUAAGGUCCCAAAGUCAUGGUUAAGUGGGAAACGAUGUGGGAAGGCACAGACAGCCAGGAUGUUGGCUUAGAAGCAGCCAUCAUUUAAAGAAAGCGUAAUAGCUCACUGGUCGAGUCGGCCUGCGCGGAAGAUGUAACGGGGCUAAACCAUGCACCGAAGCUGCGGCAGCGACACUAUGUGUUGUUGGGUAGGGGAGCGUUCUGUAAGCCUGCGAAGGUGACCUGUGAGGGUUGCUGGAGGUAUCAGAAGUGCGAAUGCUGACAUAAGUAACGAUAAAGCGGGUGAAAAGCCCGCUCGCCGGAAGACCAAGGGUUCCUGUCCAACGUUAAUCGGGGCAGGGUGAGUCGACCCCUAAGGCGAGGCCGAAAGGCGUAGUCGAUGGGAAACAGGUUAAUAUUCCUGUACUUGGUGUUACUGCGAAGGGGGGACGGAGAAGGCUAUGUUAGCCGGGCGACGGUUGUCCCGGUUUAAGCAUGUAGGCUGGUUGUCCAGGCAAAUCCGGAUAAUCAAGGCUGAGGUGUGAUGACGAGGCACUACGGUGCUGAAGUAACAAAUGCCCUGCUUCCAGGAAAAGCCUCUAAGCAUCAGGUAACAUUAAAUCGUACCCCAAACCGACACAGGUGGUCAGGUAGAGAAUACCAAGGCGCUUGAGAGAACUCGGGUGAAGGAACUAGGCAAAAUGGUGCCGUAACUUCGGGAGAAGGCACGCUGGUGUGUAGGUGAAGUCCCUGCGGAUGGAGCUGAGACCAGUCGAAGAUACCAGCUGGCUGCAACUGUUUAUUAAAAACACAGCACUGUGCAAACACGAAAGUGGACGUAUACGGUGUGACGCCUGCCCGGUGCCGGAAGGUUAAUUGAUGGGGUUAUCCGUAAGGAGAAGCUCUUGAUCGAAGCCCCGGUAAACGGCGGCCGUAACUAUAACGGUCCUAAGGUAGCGAAAUUCCUUGUCGGGUAAGUUCCGACCUGCACGAAUGGCGUAAUGAUGGCCAGGCUGUCUCCACCCGAGACUCAGUGAAAUUGAACUCGCUGUGAAGAUGCAGUGUACCCGCGGCAAGACGGAAAGACCCCGUGAACCUUUACUAUAGCUUGACACUGAACAUUGAGCCUUGAUGUGUAGGAUAGGUGGGAGGCUUUGAAGCGUGGACGCCAGUCUGCGUGGAGCCAACCUUGAAAUACCACCCUUUAAUGUUUGAUGUUCUAACGUUGGCCCCUUACCGGGGUUGCGGACAGUGUCUGGUGGGUAGUUUGACUGGGGCGGUCUCCUCCCAAAGCGUAACGGAGGAGCACGAAGGUUAGCUAAUCCUGGUCGGACAUCAGGAGGUUAGUGCAAUGGCAUAAGCUAGCUUGACUGCGAGCGUGACGGCGCGAGCAGGUGCGAAAGCAGGUCAUAGUGAUCCGGUGGUUCUGAAUGGAAGGGCCAUCGCUCAACGGAUAAAAGGUACUCCGGGGAUAACAGGCUGAUACCGCCCAAGAGUUCAUAUCGACGGCGGUGUUUGGCACCUCGAUGUCGGCUCAUCACAUCCUGGGGCUGAAGUAGGUCCCAAGGGUAUGGCUGUUCGCCAUUUAAAGUGGUACGCGAGCUGGGUUUAGAACGUCGUGAGACAGUUCGGUCCCUAUCUGCCGUGGGCGCUGGAGAAUUGAGGGGGGCUGCUCCUAGUACGAGAGGACCGGAGUGGACGCAUCACUGGUGUUCGGGUUGUCAUGCCAAUGGCACUGCCCGGUAGCUAAAUGCGGAAGAGAUAAGUGCUGAAAGCAUCUAAGCACGAAACUUGCCCCGAGAUGAGUUCUCCCUGAGACUUUAAGUCUCCUGAAGGAACGUUAAAGACGAUGACGUUGAUAGGCCGGGUGUGUAAGCGCAGCGAUGCGUUGAGCUAACCGGUACUAAUGAACCGUGAGGCUUAACCUU